rnacentral:lncRNA from 1 species
UCAAAAGACAAGUAAAAAAAUACAAUAAAUUCAUAACAAUUGACUAUAUACAAAUUCAUUUUCUAUUAACCGAUAAGUUGUGCAAUUCCCAAAGAACAAAAAAAUUAUUUGACAUAUAAUGACAUACAGUCAGAAACGACAACACAAAUCAUCAACCCAUGCAUGCAACUUGUUGCUCAACGAGGUGAACGAUCCAGAAGAGACUGAUAACUGCAAUAAUGGCCCUGCUUGGUUACCCCGCAAAACUUUGCAUGAAAUUUAGCCUAAUUUAAUAUGCUUGAAACUCUUGAUAAUUAGUUUUAUGAACAAAAUUUAUGCAAAACUUUGGUGUUAUUUCAAAAGUGCAAAAUUUUUACACCUUUCUCUAAUAAACUUAGUAGGGGACCAUCUAUGAUUAUCUCAUGUUUAUGCAAGGUUUAAGUGGGGGACCAAUAGGGUUUAAGGUAAAAUAGGUGGGGGACCAUUCAAAUCAAAGAGUAAACUUAGGAGGGACCACUCUAACUAUAGAUGGGUAAAUAUUUGCCUUUUUUGCAGCCCAAACAAGCAGGGCCAAUAUAUAAAAGAAAUAUUGCUUGUCAGAAUAGAUGAUUUAGUCCAACGAUCUUAUUUUCUUUCAUAUUUACUUAGCUAAUUUCAUGGUGGGCAAUACGCAAAACUAUAAUAUAUAUUAAGGAAUGUGUGUGUUACGUAAUACUAGUGUUGUAGGAACUUGCGACUCUGAUUUCACAUACCUAAUUUCUUCACCAUGCAAGAUCUGCCAACUCCUUUUAAUAUCAGAUAUAGAAUCUUCAGCUGCAAGAAACUUUAAAAUGACGUUCCAUUUCAUAAAAGUCGCAACCAAUAGUAAGCAACGCAAAUUGAUGUGUUCGAACACAAAAUAAAAUAAUGGAAAAAGGCAAAUAUCGCCUGAAAUCCAAUUACCGCCAUUUUACUGUCAUCAAAAGAAUAAGAAGAUAUUGAGAAUAAGGAACCACCAUUAAGUGCAAAUCAGAAGUAACAAAAAACACUGAUCUUGAGUGCAUUUUAAUAGGGUCUGCUUCAUUGAAGUGGUUAGCUUCAAAUGCACCCAUUGUUUGUUGAGAAACACCAUAUCCAAGUGUUAUCAAGUAAAUUGAUACAUACUAUACAAUGAUCAUUAAGUAAGAAAUUCCAUUUAUGUAAUCUACUUGCCAGACAGUACAACCUUCUGACCCUGGCAAAAUUAUCAUCAAAGCAAAGGAAAAAAGAUAUCAUCCAAAAUCCAAAGUGUACCUUCAGUUUCUCACAAUCAUUCACCAAAAAGUUUAAAGGCCCAAUGACAUUCAGGACUUGUGAUUCAAGUUUAUUAUCCUCUUCUUUUGAUUAAUAUUUUCUUUGUAACCUUUGACAUUGCCAUAAACUACCUUCGUAACUAGCAGUCCACCUUUCUCUUAUUGCUUGUUUCUCUUCCUAUUGCCCACACUUUGUAGUAAUCGUUAAGCUUUCUCUGCUGCUUCCCUUGCCUCUCGACCUGCAUAAAUAAACAUAACAAACCUAAGUUUCAACUGACUGCAAGGGUUUCUACAUCCAACAGAAGGUCCAAUCCACCAUUUUUCGUAGUAUAUUAUUCACUCACUUCAAGUAAAAUGACAACAUAUACCUCAAAACAUAUUUUUCUAUGUUGCUUUACAAAACUACAUAUACUUGACAUGGCAGAGUAAUCUAGUAGCCAACAUCUUCCAGCAGAUUAACAGUUAAAAGUGCCUAUAGGAUGAUCAAGUAGAGUACAUUGACGAAAAUAUGUCCAAAACUAGUAAUACAACAACAUGCAUUUGCUACAUCAUUCAUAGUAUAAAAAGGUUGAUGCAUAAAAAGGUUCUGAAUACCUCAUUCAUAUUAAUAAAAACAUUUCGCUAAUAAGCAUUCAAAUUUGGAAUCCAUAACAAUUCAAUUUUAAUAGCAGAAAAAAAAAUCUAUGAAAAUAGAAAUCAAAUAUGGGAGCUGGUAUGUAUAGAUCACUAUGUUUGUGUCUUUAAGUCAAGAAAAUAAAAAUUAAAUACAAACAGAAUUUUUGAGGACAAGAAUUAAACACGAGAGCCAAACAAGUAUCCUCCUGAUAUUAAUCAAUAAUGAUAAUAAAAGCUUUGUGCACUUUGUAGACUACGACAAAGAUAAUUAUGUUUGCUAAGACUAAGAUUGCAGCUGAGAUCAUAAGUGUAUAUGUGGGUGUUGUUGUACAUUUUAACUCGAUGCAAAAAAGUUAAGUACCUCACAAGUAACAAGUCACUGGAACGAGUUGGGCCUUUUUCGAGCCAAAGUUGUAAUUCACCAAUUCUACAAGAUGAUAAAACAAUACAAGUCAGUGAUUGAUUCAAUAAUCGAAUUGGUUUAAUAAAAAAAAAAAAAAAAAAAGGUCAGAAACUAUUGUAGAAGAUGAAGAUAAUGGAGAUACUAGGCUAUGGAGUGCAAUUCUAUCAACAAGUUACCAUCCCAUGUCCAUGGGAAACCUCUGACUCUGGAAUUAUCAAGCUCAAUGUGGUACCAUAUCUAGAGAGAUAGCUGGUUAUGGAGGGAUCUAUGUAGGAGAAAGGAAGGCUAUAUGCCAGCGUGUACUUGUAAUUAUUUAACCCUUUGUUAAUACAAAAUACCCGCUUCCUUUUGCAAGAAAAAAAUAAAUAUGCUGGGUACAUUAAUUAGACAAAGAGCAAAUUUUUGGCAGUCGUACAAUGGCCACUAGCACAACUGCUACAUCAUGGAAACUGCUACAUAACUGUGCAGUAACAAAGGAAAAGUUGAAGAAGAGAGGUGUGCAUAUGGCAUCAAUGUGUGCAGUUUGUAGGCA